UAUUUCAUUAGUAUAAUUUAUUAUAUUCAGCUUCCAACUGAAAGAUCAUAGAUGUAAU
rnacentral:tRNA from 1 species